AGUGAUUGAUUAGGAUAUUUUUUGAUUAAACAUCAGUGAUUGAUUAAGAAGAAGUUUACGAAUUUGCGCAGAAAGAAGCUUCGGACAUUCCUGCCAUAGAAAAUCUCAAGGACUUCACACCGCCGCGAAAAAAGAAAAAAAGCAUCGGUUGUGGUCUAUGCAUUGCCGGAAAAUACAACUUAA